rnacentral:lncRNA from 1 species
GCACUUGGUCCGAGCUACCGGCGGAAGUCAGAAUUCCCAGUUUCAGCUCUCAAAAUAGGAUCUAACGAAUAGACCGGGUAUGAAUAAGCCGAGUGGGGAAGGGCUACUCACACUUGAAAGAGAACUCUCGCGGUCUUUCUAGUGGUAUCCGAUUCGGAUUGUAUAGCUGCUGGGAAGGAUAAAGAUCGAUCAAUGUCCCCAGAUUGCAAGGCAUUCAGAUCUCAAUGCCCAGGAGAGGAAGAAAGGUGACCGCUCGGUCUAUCCUCAGUCUUCUAGUGCAAAUCAUAUCUCUAUCUUUUUCAAAGCACGUCAAGACUCAUAAUCACAGUGCUUUGGGCUGGGGCGGAAGAUUUUGAUAAAUAAGUGAGUGAAUAUCGAUCUCUUCUAGCUCUUCGAACUCAUACUCCUCCGCUUGUCCAUGUCUCUCAAAAGAAUAGAGAAAGAGAUCUCCCAAAGUGCUUUGAAUAUCUCGAACUACCUGCGGAUCCUCGUAUAGAUUCCGAAUGCUCUCAUAGGGCUGCACGGCAAGCUGACUGAAGUCAGACCCAUCAAAAUAGAAUAUGAUCUCUUUCUGACUUCUCUUUCUUACCCUUUUUCAUUCAAAGAAGAAGAUGAGAGUUGUCAAUAUUCUUUGACCCUUGUUCAUUGAUUGCACUCCCUCCUUUCUCGUCUUUUCUUCCUCUCUCGUCUUCUUCAGUAUUUAUUAGGUUCUGGUUCUGACUUUUGAGCAUUAAGAGAAGGCCUUUCUUCAAGAUCAAGUUUGAAGGCCAAAUUCUUCUUUGAACCUUGUCAUUUGAAAAAAGAUGAGUUGAGUUAGCCUAUUUCUAGCUUUUGAGCUACUUACAGAAAGAUCGACAGCAGACUUCUCAAGAGCGGACUCUUCCUCAGCCCCGAUCUCGACUGAUGACUCUGGGCUUCCAACUUCCGAAACCUUUUUUCAAGCUAUUGCUGACUUUGGGCGAGCAGCUUCCAACUGGUCCGGUACUCCGGUCUCGCUAGCUUUGUGAUAGCUUCUAACCUUUCGCUUCUUCCUCUGCAGAAACCGAGACUUCUUCCCUAUCCAAUACUGGUACUGUCAAGCUACUUUCUUCCACGAAAGACCCAAGAAGACAGUGAAGUUGUUCACACCUCGUCAAAGAGUCGAGCUAGGUUCCACUCCCAAACCUACCAGCAAUCUCAAGAAAAGAGUCAACCAUCUCCACAGCAAGACGACUUGACUUGACUUAGGGCAAUCAAAUCCUUUUUGCCUCCCUUGUUCAUCGAUUAGUCGCUUCUUUUUUAGUGGUCCGAAGGACUAUCCAUAUGAACCUGGAAUAUUAGCUUUCUAUUUGAAUUCCAAAAAAUAGCCAUAGGAGUGCGAGAGAAAGAAGCGAAGCGACUGAUCGAUGUUCUUGGCUGGAGCCAUCCAUAAGAAUGAAAUUCCUAGGCUCCGUAGGAGUUGAAAAGCCUACCAUCAGAAUAGAAAUAUAUUCCAUAAAUCAGUCCAAGGAAGAAAAGAAAGUUCAGUCAGGAAAGCCUACCGCAACAUGAAAGUGGAAUAGAGAGGUCCUCUCUUUUUUAUGGGCCUAUUUCAUUCCAUAACUCAAAUCCCCAAAAGAGGGAGGACUAGUGCGCGUACUAGGAUAAGGAGAUCAAUCUGAGGCUGCAAGGGAAGAGAUAGAAGGCACUCAAGUAGGAGCGCUAAGUCAGAGAAAUGAGAACCCAGGGAGCGGUUGCGAGACCGUGUUUCAGAUCAAGAGUCUGAAAGUCAAUGAACAAGGGCUUUCUCAAUUGAAUCUGAUUAUAUCAGAAGAAAGGAGGUUAAGACGAGAGGCUUGAACCUACUUAAAGGAUCAAUGAACAAAGGAUAGGGGAUCAGUCCGAGCAGUUUCAUGAUCUCUUUCCUUCCCUUUCGACUUAUAUCUUGUUCUCCCUCUUUCAGAAGUUGCUCUCGUUCAAGAAAGAAGUUCUUUCAGUUCUUGUCCCAUCAGUAGAAAGAUCAAUAGGGAAUGAGCUAUUGUCCCAAGCCUAAUCACCCGGAUAAACAAGGGCGAGAUAUGCCAAUCAAAGUACUAAGAUCAAUAUGGCACGCGAGAAGUUCCAGACAAGAAAGGGAAUCCCGGGAUCUCCACCCUUCUAGCAUAAGGGUUCAGUACUCAAAGAAAGGGAAGCAAUAUAUCCCAUAGGGCGAACCUAGCUCCCCAAUUAUUCAUAUUCAUUCUCUCUACUCUAGUUCACGAGGAAGAAGUUAGCCAGGAGUCUCGAUCGUCCAGGUCUAGGACGCGGAACCUCUUUUGCAUCUGGGUCGAGAUCAGCGCUUUACCUUGAAAUAAAGACACCUUAAUGAGAAGUAGUCAAAAAAUCAGGAAUAGACCACCAAAGGAGUUGGCCACGAGGCCACCGAGAAGCUCUUGUUCUUGAACAGUUCGCAAAUAGGCUGAUUGAUUUCUCUUUUCACUUGGAUUGACAUAUCUCCUCGCUACGGGUCGCUACCUUUCUACCCCUUUUCAGUUAGGCGGCCUUAUAGCGCGCAUUCCCGAUCGAUCUGAUCUUUCUACUGAUGGAGAACAACCCCUCAUGGAGGAUUUCUACGUCCCGAUUUCAUGAGUGAGUUUGGAGAAUGUGAAUUAACAAACUAAUGCAAGAACAAAAUCUCCACCUCGGCCGGAACAACUACAGCGAGGGCAAGAGAUCCAACAGCAUUUCUCCCUCAACUACAAGAGGUCUUCUCCUCUUGUAUACAGCCCCGUGUAUUCUGACUCUGAAGGCAUGAACUCUAUCACUCAUUUAUUUAGCUGGGUCGGAGCCGAUAGGGACCCAGUUGAAGCAGCUGAGAACUCAUCAAGAAAAGAAAGAAAAAGCCUAGGCAAGGCGCGAAGCGACUGAAAGUUCGCCUUUGAAUAGUGCAGGGUUUCACGAUAAAGGAGCAGAAAGAUGAUCAAUUCAUUAACGAGAAAAGCCUAGAUCAAUGGAAGUCCGCGGAUGAAAUAAAAGGAAGAAAGAUCAAGCCAAAGGCGAGACUGAAAGGUGCGAAGCAGCUCGAAAAAGAAGGAGUCAAUGAACAAGGGCGACUCUUUCAGAUUCUUAGAAGGAGCCCUUCAAAUUAGAAAUCCAUAUGAACCUUAAAGAUUCUCUUCUUAUCUUUAUCUUAGCUAAAAUGCUAAAUUUGCAAGGUUUUGGGCCUAUACGGAACGCAACUUUUCAAGUCAAAUGCCUUCUUUUUUUCUCUAUUUUCGUUAAAUAUCAAUCUUUGAUUUACUAUGAAAAAGAAGCAAAAAAGCCGGGAAAUAGCAAUGAAAGAAGAACUCCUAUCCCAGAAAUGAACAUCGUUUGAUUCUUGUUUGAGUUUCUUUUCCGGAUAUUGAGAGGUCUAUUCUUUAUUCCGCUCCGGUUCAAAGAAUGUCAUCUUCUCAAUUCAUUCAGCCUAAAGGUGCAAAGAAUAUUGCGAAGGCGCAAAGAAUUUGCGAAGAAGGACUAUCCAUUAGGGCCUCAGUCCAUCAUAUCUUCUUAUUUCUUUCUAGGCUUCUUUCAUUCUCGUUAAUGAGUGAAUUCUUCUUUUCUUUUCUUGACUUUUCACAGGUCCGAAGGCGCAAUGAAAUAUGCGGGGAACCCGUCCUCCGGACCACUCAAAAUCAUGAAUUCCAAAAAAUAGCCACCUACUAAAAGGUCUAUGUUCUCAAACUCAAAGAACAAAGAAUGAUCGAAGGAUUCUUCCUUAAACUUAGAGGGAUCAGAUAGGUUAUCAGCACCGCCCAUGCAGGUUAGAAGGAGCCCAUAAAGGUUAGACACAGCUUGACCUAGAUGCGCAAGAAUGAGGGCGAGAUUUUUCUUUGGAGAAGCUAUUCCUUUACUUAGUUAGUGGGGGAGUUUCAAAGAAGAACAGUGUCCCAGUCUGAAAUCAAGGUUUCGGAAUUCAGUAGCGAGACCAGUCCGGAGGACAGGUUAAUAGGCCGAACCCUACUAAAUAGUAAAUAGUAGUCUUUGCUAAACCUGUAUCUGGCGUCUCGACUUUGAUCCCUUCGGUUCUCCAACCGAGUUCCAUCUUGAACUCUCUUAUCUUUCUAUCAUAUUUUUGAUAGCAAAUCAAGACCAAGGGGAACUAAAGCAACUGGGACUUCUACUUCUCAAUAUUCUUUGAACCUGGUCGUCGAGCCUUUUGCCUUGAUCCUCCAUUCGUGGAUGUCUUACGCCUAACCUAUCCUUCUCAUUCCUGAAAGGGAUGCAACCUGACUCUUACCCGGCUGGAGUACUUCCGCUUCGGGAGACACCUGAGCCACUUUGAAGCGGAGACGGGUUGAGGUACUAUUUCCUUUCCGUAAGAAGAUAUAAUGUCCAGUUAGAAUAGAACUGGAACAAGAACAAAAAGAUUUGGAUCCUCCAUAACCUUUUCCGCCUAUCGAGCCUUUGUCCUUCAUUCCUAAGGGAAAGCAGAAAUACAGGGUUGAAGCCGGUUAAUAUGGAUAAAGAAGUCCAUUUUCACGGCGGAUAAAGAAGUGCAAAGAAUGAAUAUUGCCUUCAAAGACCGCAAAGUACAAUCGAGAAGGGGAUGAAAUAAGGAAGUCGCGUAGCUAGGUGGGCGCCCACUAGAUCGGCGAAAGGUUAGAAUAGAAAGACCCCCACGGAGGGAGCGGGGGGAGAGGAGAGGCCCGUGGCUGUAGCAUCCCUUUCUCUUUCUGAAGUAGCCGUCGUUGUGCCCUCUCUUCUUUAUGGAAAGAAGAAGAGAUUAGGAAUGAGUUUUGAAUAUUCUUAAUUCACUCAUCAAUCUCAUUGUUGACAUUAGAUUCCCCAACGAGUGAGUUCAUGUCUUAAAGCACUAUUGGGCGGAGGUGAUCAACUAAGAAGUAAGAAGAAAGAAAGCACUUGACCUUAAAGGCAACGAUGAAGAUCAAAGAAGAGAGUUCUCCACUGAACCUUUUCUUCUAAUACGUAAAUCAUCAAGCUAAGAAUGAAAGGUGCGAGGAGACCGUAAAGCCUCUUAUUAGUGGAGGUAUUCUUAACUGAAUCUCCACCUUCUCUCUUCCAUAGGUGCAGUCUCGACUCUAAUUAAGAAAAGUAGGACAGGGACAAAGGUUAGUUCCCUUAGCGUGCCGCUCCAAAGAAGCUUUCCCGGAUUGAGGAAUGCAUUGGCUGUUGGAAUCUCAGAUCUCUUUCUAUUAGUUCGUAAAAGAAAAAAGAAGAAGAUAAAGAAUAAAGAAGACGGAGAAUGAAUGACUUUCGGUGACUCAACCUGAAAAUAGAAUGAAUAGUCCUCCCUCCGACGGAGCAAAAACAAAGGUCUCGCAACGAAAAUUGAAUUCAGCCUUGCACUCAACGCAUAUUUCAUUGCGCAUCUGGACCCCUUAUAAUUGGGCAAUAUUCUUUGUCAAUAUUCUUUUCACCUCCCCGGUUCAAUUCAAUAUGAAAGAAGAGGAGGACUAUUCACGCAAUAUUCUUUGCGCCUUCGCCCAACCGAAAAAGAAAGCGUCAAGGUGCCCAAAAUAGGACUUCCAAAAGCAGUCUACAUAGGGACUCGGAGAGGAAUGAAAUAGCUCGACCCUUGAUUGAGGGAGAGGAAUGAAAUAGCUCGACCGGGAGAGGAAUCUCAAGUUCUUUCACUAAUUAAUAUCCUAUCCUCGACAGACAAGGGGCCGGCCAGCUAACCGGAAGAAGCAAGGUGCAAAGAAUAUUGCGUAGGAAUGGAAUAAGAGUGAGAAUAGGUUUCAUAAGACCCAAGGGGACUUUAAUCAUGAGCGAAGCACUCUUUCGUUAGUAUCUCCAUCCGUCCCAGAUAAGGAGGAAGGGGGAAUUCUCAGGGGGCAGGAGAAUAAUAAAUAGUACCUGGAUGAGUUCUUGUCCCUUGUAGCUUUGCAAAGCAAUUAUGCCAAAUAUCUACUCUUAGAAGAAGCUUUUCGGCUAAGAAGACCAAUUCUCAUCCGCUGGUGAGGCGCUCGACCUCUAUCCCUUGGAUAAGGGUACAAGGAAGAGGCAACUGGGGAAUUCUGUCUACGGCAAAAAGAAAGGCCUUGAACGAGAAAGAAUGGUAUUGACAAGGCGAUUUCUUACAAUCAAAAAAUCAGGCUAUUUGCGAAAGAUCGAACGUACCUAGUUCGCCUCCUGGUGUACCGCGUAGUGGGCUAAUCUUAACAAUGAUGAGUUAAUCAAUGAGAAAAAGUAUAAGAAGUGGAGUUUCAUCCCCUUUACCGUUCAGACGUGGAUAGAAGAAGGCACUGCUUGUGCGACCAAAUCGGCUAUCACCCGAAUCCAAAGAUAAGGGGGUAGCGGCUUUUAGAAUAGCGAAUAGUCAGCUGGUCCGAAGGACUGACCGCAGAGGUUUGUCGAGCUUCGAUAAUUCUUUGAGCGUCGGACUUUAUCAAGCUUACGAGCUUCCCAGGAUAGUCGGACCCGUCGAAUUCUAUUUGGUACUUUCUCACGCAAUAUUCUUUGCGCCUAGCCUUCGGACCUGUCUUAGCCUUCGCACCUGGAAGUCUAGUCAAUAUUCUUUUCACCUUCGGACGGGUCGUCUUGACCCUUAUUUCCAUAUUCAAUUAAGGACCACUAAAAGAUAGAGAGGAAGGAAAGCCUAGACUUAUCGAUGUUAUUGGAACAAGGUUCAAAGAAUAUUGACAAAGCAGAUCCACAGCAAGGGUUUCAACUUCAAUUUCUCAUGAAAUUCUUCCUUAUUUUGAGUCCCCGUGGGAGUUUGAGCCUGAAGAAUUGAAUUUUGAUGCCUCCUACGGGGUUCAUUGGGAUUCUACGACCUAUGGAAAGAUCUGGUGCGUACUUGGCUCGGUCGUUCUAAUUCCUCCUCUGCGACCGGUCCGGAGGACCUCUUUUAUCCACUCUUGUCUUCCCUAGCUUCCGAUUUAUUUGAGUUCGGGAACUAAAGAAGACAGCAGCUACUCACGCAAGAACCUACUCUGAUUAAUGAUGAGAAAUAGCAGCAAGGCCCUUGAUUUUGAACAUCUCUAUCCAGACCAUAGUACUCUUUCAUUUCCGUACUCCCCUCCUGAAACCUAUCUUUCUACCAAAUUACUGGGCGAUUCCGACACAAUGAAAAGAUGAGAUCGGGGCGAAGACCUGAUAAAGAAAGCCCCCCUGGAUUGACUGUAUAAGAAGGAUCAGUAUGAUCGCUUAGAAGGAGCUGAGUGAACGAGGUGUGAACGACCAAUACCGACCAAUUCGGUACGAAGGGCUAACUAUGAAUUAUCUGUGGAAAUCUCCCAUAAAGAAGAGAGACGGACUUUCCUCAUUCAUUCGACUAGGACAGACACGCCGGCCGUCUCCAGCUAAAAGUAGGGUUACGUGUGUUGAGGGAAUGAUCAAUGAGUCAAUCGGGGAAGAGUACUCAGUCUCACCUCUAACUCUUCGGUGUCUCGGUUGAGGUCAAAAAAGGUUAUCCGCCUAUUACCUAUAGGAGAAAUGCUGGCAUGAAUAGACUUCCAGUGAUCAAUGAACAAGGGUAAGCUCCCCCCCCGACUCAUAUGGGGUCGACGAACAAGACAAGAGUGGAGGCAUCAAAAUAGAUCAAUGAAAGAGGACUAAAAUCAAAAGGAAGCUGUAUUCUCAGUUUACUCGGGUGAAGCAGCUAGAUACAGAGUUGUAGAGAGUUCAGGAGCAAAGCUCCUUUAUUGAGUUUAGUCGGGUUCCGGAGCUGAGUUCAGCGCGAAUAGAACCAGAAAAGGAAUAUGAAAGAAAGCCUAGGGUGCAGAGUGGAAGAGCUUUACCGCGUAGGCUUUCCUUUUGUAUUUUCAGAAGUUCUCUCUCAAAUUUCAUUCAGCCUCAGUCAUAAGUACUCUUUUCAUCAUCCAGAAAGAAAAAAAAGGAUGAAUAAGGGAUGUUUCCGUGAGUUCCAUCAAUAGAAAGCAUAAGAACAAGCUCACUUAAGUCGAUGUUCCUCGUAUGAGUAUGAUCUCUUUCGGUGAGUACUCUGCCUUUCAUUCUCUCUUUCCGUGAGAAACUCCUUUCGGAAGACUGAAAGACUAAUUCGAUAGAAAGUUGCUAGGGAAAUCUCUCUCGAUCGGUGCUGGAAGGAGAAGUGCUAGCUCUUUCCGAACAUCCUUAGAUAGGAGCGGAGCAGCUCGACAGGAAGCCGGAGAGGCUGAAUUCCAUUUGAGAGCGGCUCGCUCGCAAGAUUCUCUUUUCAGUGGAAGGCAAUAUUCCCCAUAUUAAGCUACGGAGGCCCCAUAAGACAGGUCCGAAGGCGCAAAGAAUAUAUUUAGAGUUUACAAAUUAGGAGAAAGUGCUGAAGAAUGAACUCAUUAACGAUAAUGAAAGAAGAAAAAAAUGGGAAUGAAAAAUAAAGAGGUGAAUAUGGGAGAUUUCAGACUAGUCCUUCGCGGAGGGAAAUACAAGAUUUUGCUAGGUUUUGCCCAUAGGGAAGUAGCAAGAAAUCAUGAAAAAUCAGUCAUUUUUAGACAAUUUUCGUUAAAUAGAAAUCUUUGAUUUAGUCCUAUUUAGAAGCAAAAAAGCCGGGAAAACGCAAUGAAAGAAUCAAGCCUAUCCCAGAAAUUCACAUGGAUCAGUUCUAGUUUGAGUUUAUGGUCCGGAGAAAUACAGGUCUAUUCUUUAUUUCACUCCGUCUUCAAUCUCCAAAUCAAUGAAGGAGUACAAUGAACAUCAUAAUUCUUCUUUCAUUCUCGUUAAUGAGUUAAUUAUUCUUUUCUUUUCUUGACUUUUCACAGGCGCAAAGAGCGAGCGAUUCAAUCUUCUUUUCACAACUCUCGGAGGUGAAGGUUGCUUCUGCUUCGUACGUGGAUCACUGACUGAAUCUUCUCAUGAACGUCCAAUGAAAGAAAAGAAAAGAAUUAUCAAAAAAAGAAAGUCACUAGAAUGUAAUCCGGAGGACUCUCUGAAAUCCACUAACAAGAAAAAAAGAGCUUUUAUCAUGAUGAUUUUGACAUAUGAAAUCUUUUUCUUAGCGAAAAUGCAAAAUUCUAUCUUUCCUAUCGAUCACACACACAUAUUUCAUAAAUAGCCCGAUCAUCCUUUUGGCCUGCGGUAUAUGUCGAGAUUUUCUUUCUCGUUCUUUCCUAUCUAUCUGAUUUUCCUAUCUAUCUUAUCUGGCUGAGAACUCUGUCGCUAAAAACCAUUGAAAUGCUUGCUUCUAAAACCUAUUGAGUUCCUUCUCCACUUUUUUUAGUAACUGACGAGUCUGAAAAGACUUUUUUUUGCAAGAUCGUCUUCCGAAUCGUCUAAGAAAUCUCUGAUUACAUUUCACCUUGCCUCCGCUUCCUUUAAGUAGGUUCUUUAGUAGGUUCGUUUCCGUAGGUAACUUGCCGUAGGUUCAUGCUUCGCUUCGCGCCUUCACACCUCCCGGUCCGUGGUAGUUUCAUUUCCGGCAUAAGCCAAGGCCUCUGACUUAUUGUCGAAUUUCCCCUAAGACUGAGGCCUUCCCUUGAUCUGAGCCCUCUAAGUCGAGCAGCUUCUCGCACCUCAACCCGCUAACCUCGUGGAUUCAGCCAGCCUCCCCUACGUUAUUCCCUUGAACUUAUCUACAUAAACAUAAGGGGAUAGAGUACUGUUCUGAGCCCGGAAGCGGCUUUCCCGUUGAGAUCUGGAACUUGACGCUUCUCAUUCCCCUUGUGGGAACUCAUUCCGAGAUUCUAACUGAACUUAUUCAAUUUCAAUGGAACACUUAUACAGAACAAGGGCUCCAAGCCAACGUAGCAGCAAGGGCACCACGGUCUGGUCUCAUUCCGAUGCCUCUUCUUAUAGUCUCACCUUUCUCCUCUCCUUGAACGUCGAGCUACUAACUUCUUAUGUUCCGUCUCUCGAUUUCAUUCCGAAACGGCUCCGUGGGGUAAUUUCUUUGUCUGAUGUCUGACCCUUGCUUUGCUUGUUAAUACGGACUCCCUAGCUGAUUUCAGAGUCUUUGACUCGAAAGAAUGAGAAUGAACCCAAACCUCAAAUCAGCCAUUCCCCCCACUUGAACCUACUUAAAGGCACCUACACGGCAAGGAACCGUAGGCAAGGUUUUGAUGAUUAUAAGGACUAGUACAAAGAUUAGUAUGCGAAGCUUUAGCUGGAGGAAAGGAAAUCAAUGAACAGGGGCUUAUAACCUACGGCAAAGAAUCUCCGGAGGGGUGCGGAUCGAUAGAAAGCUGCUUUACCUUAUCGGAUCGGAAUAAAGGGAACAUCCCUUCAUCUGCAGACAAGAACUGGAGGCAAGGUGAAAUGUAAUCAGAGAUUUCUUAGACGAUUCGGAAGACGAUCAGACGAUAUGGAAUCGUCUGGAGAAUCGUCUUCUUGGCUAGAAGCUUUACCAGUUGGGUGCGGGGAAUCAAGACGAACCCCAGAGACCGCUGUUUGGGAAAGCCGUGAAACUCCUUUUCUGCUUCUACUACUUAAACAUAUCUUUCCGAAAAAGGAGUGUCCUCACUAAAAGGAGUGGCCCCCACUCCCAAGAAAAGCUGCUAAGCGUGCUCGUGCUCCGUCUCUCGUCCGAUGAGAAGCCUCGUGCCCUCAUCCUUUGUUUCUUCUCCUUCGAUUUCCUUUUUCAAUUUCCUUUUAAGGAGUAAGAGGAGCGGCUCCUCUGCUUCAAAGUUGAUUAAAACAUUUGACCCCUCCCUCUCUUUCUUUUCAUAAAUAAAGGCCAUUGGAUUCAAUCCCCUCAAUAUUCUUUGAACCUCCCUCUCUCCUUUGUAUAGGUGGGUUUUUUUUGAGCUUGCGUCCGCCUGGCCCUGGCCUCCUGGGAACAGGUAUUAGAGCACAGGCGAGUAGGUUCAUUUGACACCUUUCGAAGAGGAUUUCCUCGGUAAUCUGUAGAUAAAUAGGGUCCCCCUCCUUUCCUCCUUCUAAUGGAGGAGAAAAGGCUUUCAUCCUUUGGUAGGAAAUCUGGGCAAGCCCAAUAACGUCGUAUGCCUCCAUACGCAGAUAGUACUUUUCUUCUAGGAAGAAUUCCUUCACUCGAAAGAAGUUCUUGUCCAGUGGUGGGCCCCCCUGGGCCUCGAGAAUAGCCGCUCUCUUUCGUAUGCACCACCCCACUCCGCGGUGGAAACAAUCCUUUCUUCUUCAAUCCUUUUCAGAUGGGAGUGGAACUUUAGAGGGAAGAUCCUUUCGGCCCAGGGUCCCGUCUUCCUAAAAAGAUAGGGUAGGUCCUUGCCUUUAUUUCUUUUCAUAAUGGGAACGUUUUUCUUUUUGAGAAAGACUCUUUCAUACUUAGCGUCGAGCCUACAUCUUUGCCCAUCUAAGAGUUUCAGAAGAUGAUUCAGGUAGGCCCCCGGCUUUUCUUCGUAGAGAGUCUUCUCUGCUACGUGGUCCUGAAAUUCGUCCAGUACCCAUAGAUCAUGGAAGUCAUCCGCACCCGAGUAGUCACUCUUUCUUUCCCCCGUGGUGUAUACCUUAAGAGCCUGCUGCAGCAUGCGGAUCAGUAGGGUUUUUUGGGUACUCGGUUCGCCAUAAACGAAGAGUUGCCUUGUCUUUAUAGGCCUCUUUGAGCCCACUACGCGGUUGACGGCAAGCCAAUCCAAAAGAAGGAAUUUCUCGUCCAAGUCCUCCGGUUCGUAGGCCUGUUGCCAUCCGUGCUCCCAUAGGUAAUUGGGAAUUCUUUCCAUUUCAAUCUUCUUUGAACCUACUUUUUUCGGCCUUAGUUUCGUGCCACAUUUGUUGUACGACAUUGUACUUUACCCAUAGGGCCCCUUGGAGCAGUGGAUCAUUUAGAACGGAGUUCCAAUUCUCGUGUAUUCGUAGUCUCCGGAAAGGGUGCUUUUUUUUGUUCCGCCUGAAGACGAAGUCGAAGUCUUCUUCUUCGUGCUUGCCAGGGCCUCUGCCAGUAUUUCUUGGAUGGAGAACUCUCCCCAGACGAAGGGCUCCUUGUCCUCCUUGGUGACGUAGUAGCAGAGCGAUCCCCACGCCUUAUGGAAGGUGACCCAGCAUUGACUGCCUUCGAAUUCUGGGAAUUGGCUUCUAAUGCGGUUUGCGGCAUUCUACCUAGUGGCAUUCCGGUUCAGUAGAGCUACAUUCAAAUGGUAAGACCCAUCUUUGUCUUUUUCCCUCGCUAGAACGAUGGAAAGACAUUGAAAGAGACUUUGCAGUCUUUCGGAAAUGAUCCCACGUAGCGGUGUGACUUUAGCUCUUUCUCCCCUGUCGGCUUGGGAAAGAGUCACUGAAAUUCAUUUCCGUGUAGUGGUCCGAAGGACUUCUUUAUUCUAUUCCACUUGCUUGGUCCAUGAAAACACACUUUAGCCUUCUGGUAGAGAAAUUCAAAAUGAUAAAUAAGAUAGGCUCCUGACGGAAUAGUUAAGAACGGUGGAUAAAUCUAGAACUAAUCCGAAGGGUUGAGCAGCUUCUCAUAUUUCAUUGACCCUAGCCCCUCGAAGCUUCCGUAGAGGAGCUGAGCCAUAGACCCCCAUCCUCUAGAGGGAGAUGCCUUUUCUUUCCUAAGAAGAAUCAGUUCUUCAGUCAUUCUUCCUGUCCGGCCGGAAACCCCGGAGCUUUCACUGUACGGCUUAGUCUCUUCCUCCUAAGUCAGGUAGAAACUGAGAAGGGAGCUGAUAGUAUAUUAUGGAACCAGCCUAGUUCGUACAACUUCGUCAACCUAGAAAGAGCCCGAAGGUGAGCCGCAAUCUACUAGGCUCCUAGCAAAGCCGAAGCCUUAAAGAAGCUCCCCGGCUUCGCCUUCGACCCCAACCUCAUCAUGAGGCUUAUAAGAAGGUGAAAAGAAUAUUGACGGGAAAAAUCAGACGUCAGAGCUCACUUUUCUUGGUUGUGCAGCUAUCGGCUGCUGGCUUUGAAGGAUGGUACGGCUCAGCUCCGCGGAGGUAGCGGCUUUGUCUUUCCUAACCGGCUCCGCGUCUUUGUCUUUCCUAACCGGAGGGAGCGGAGCGUCAAUAUUCUUUGAACCUCUUCUAUUUAUUAUCCGGGAAAUCUCUUGCUAACCGCUUUCCGUCUUCUGAGGCUCGGGAGGUAGCGUAGCCUCUUUGUCUUUCCUAACCUAAGAAGAAUCAGUUCUUCAGUCAGUCUUCCUGUCCGCCCGGAAACCCUGCUGCUUUCACUGUCCGGCUUAGUCUCCUCCUCCUAAGAAAAGUAGGGAGAGCAAGAAAAGAUUCCCCAUUGGGGGCUACCGAGCCACAAAGAAAUAAAGGUCAAAGAAGAGACCGAGGCUCAAAGAAUAUUGAGAAGGUGUGCGCUCCGUCCGAAGUAGCUUAAUUAGUCAGAAAAGUCAUAGUCUUACCUACGGAAACGAACCUAAAUAAGAAGAACGAAUCUUGCAUUGAGCCUCCGGACGUAGGAGCCUCUCAUUCAUUCUCAAUUCAUUAAGGAAAAUCUUUUCUUUCAUGCUUUUGAUUAUCGUGAAUAAAGAACUCAUAAAUGAGAUUGAGAAAUGUAAUAAGUUCAUCACUCAAUUUCUCGGUAGUUUCUUCUUUCUAUCUUUCUUCUUCUUUGAAAGAGGUUGAGAAAACCCAGCGCCCCGGGGGAGCGCAAAUCUCUGUAGGAGUCCUUCGGACCAGUAGUGGACCGUCAAAUAUAGGUGCCCGAAGAAGCCGGUCAACGUCUGGCAGAGUAUCCACCGAUGGAUAAGAAGAAGGAAGACAGACUUUACACAACUAUGACGGUAGACAAAGCUUGAUCUCUUGAUCUGAUCUUUCUGUCUUAAGAGAUUGAUUUGUUCUCUCUCUUAAUCGAUCUGUCUUACUUACUCCCUAAUCGAUCUGUCUUAAGAGAUUGUAUUUCUCGAUUUCAUCCCUCCCAUAUCUCUUUCAUUUCUCGAUUUGAUCUAUCGAUUGUAUCUCUCUUAAUCUCAAAUCUUUAGAGAUUUGUCUUCAUCUCUUUUCUUUAUCGAUCUUUCUUUCUUGAUCGAUCUGAUAGCUCUUAAGCGUAGCGACUCAGACCGCUAGCCUGAAUCAGCUUUCCCGGAUCUUUCUUCAUCUGCUUUUCCUACGCGUAGCGGACAGCCGUCAACUACUUAGAAUUUCUUUAUCCGAGCAUUAUCAGGAGAAAGGGAGAAAGAAAGGCGCAAAGAAUAUAUAGAGCGAUUCAAUCUUCUUUUCACCUUGUUCAUUGAGGCGUCGGACUUGUUAAUGGAAUUUCAUUCCUUCUCAAAUUCUCAAUAUUCUACCCCCUUUGUUCAUUGAUAAGAGUCGAUCUUCUUCUUCACGUCCGGAGGACUGGUCCGAAGUCCUAGUCUUUGAGUUCUCCUUAUCUAAUGAGACCUUGUAAAGGGCGAACUUUCAGUCGCUUCUCAAAUUCUUUGCACCGCUCCGUGGGUCGCAAAGUUAUUUAAGGUUCAAAGAAAAGAAUUAUCUCAAGGGGAUAGUUUCAAGAGAAUUCCUUUGAGCCCUACUAACCCACUACGCGGUAAAUCCGGCCCGUAGGUCGAGUGGCUUAGCACCGCAGAGUGGGAAGGAGAUAUUCAUAGCCCUUCUUCCGACCUGGUGUUCGCUCCGAACUCACCCUAUUUCGCUUACUCAGUUGAGGCGCCCUAGUAUGAAGAGGUUCCAGAAAAGCCCUUUAUGGGCAGCUUCUAAGCAUAUCUAUAGAAUAAAUAGCUUGACUCAAGGACAAGAAGCGAGGGCUACUUCUUAAAGAAGAUCUGCUGGAACAAGAACUUCCCUCUGAACCCGAUCCUCUGAGAGUGGAGUUAGAGCGAAGACCCAGCCGGGCAUGCAAGGUUUUCCCAUUCAAUGUGGUCAUGGUCAAAUCCGCCUCUUUCAGCUGUAGCCCACUCUGCGGUGUGAAUGCGACUAAGCGAUGAAAUCUCAUUAGACGCGGACCUCCGCUUUCUCUGUCUGCUUGGACAUCCCUUCAUACCGCUUAAGAGCCAAGAAGGCCUGUGACUAGAGUCGAAUUACCGCUGCUACGUGGGGAACCUAGGGCAAGGAAAGAAAGACUUCCGCUCCGUCUUCCGCCUGAAAUUCAUGUAUAGGAGUCUCGACUGGGACGGACGGAUUCCAUUCCCUUGCGUAGGUCUGCUUGGAACAUCCUACCUCCUUGACUUUCCUUUCUAGGCAAUUUCUCACGAAUGAAAGAGCGAUCCAAUCGAUUCCUCUGCAAGAACAAAGCCUUAACCUAGAGCGCGAACUCAUUCUCUUCAAAAUCUCUCUCUCUCCCGCGAAACUAAUAAGAAGAUAGUAACUUCAUAGAAUAAGAUAAGAAAGCUAAUCAGUCAAUGAAUGAGUCUGAACCUACAUGGAUUUCACAGGUUUUUUUUGAAUAUAGACCUUACAAUAUCCCUGUCUUAUGGCACAAACAAAAGUCAAGAAAAGAAAAGAAGCUCAUUAACGAGAAUUCAAGAAUCAUUUUUCUUUCAUUCGAGUUAAUGAGUGAAUUCUGAUUUUCGUCAAUAUUCUUUGCGCCUUAUAAUGGGCUAAUUGGUCCUUCUUCUUUCUUAGAAUGAAAAUCAAGCUUUCCUACACCUCUCAUCUUCUCUAAUAUAAUAGAAUAUUGAAUCUGAGUUCGGCGCACUCAUCACAUAAAUAGUAAGCACGAACUCAAGAGAGGGGAAGGGGAUCGACCAGGACGCUGAAAUGGUGAGUUGCGCCUGAAUUACCUAUCCUAGCUUACCAUACUCGGUGCUUGGGAUGGGAGACUUUAGCCUACAAUGGCCAAGAACGCCAGUUCCCGAGGCAGCAUGAACCCUCUUCUUUAUGAGGGGGACAAGGAGGAGUCCACUGUAUUUAACCUUCACCAUCAGCGAAUGGUACCAUUUAGAGCAAAUUGGCAAGGUUCUCAGAGUUAUCCGUCAACUAGCUGAGAUUUCUGAGAUGCUAGCACAAUUGACCACCUUGAGGGCAGACAUCGAAAAGCCCUGGCUUUGAAUUUGAAAGUACUCAUCUUACCGAACCCAUAAAGACCCGGUAAGCAAGUAGUACGUCUUUCCACCAAAUAAAUAGGGAGAAAAGGAGCUCAGCACCAUGGGGCAAGUCCUAUUCUACCUGAUCCCACUCCUCUUCGGAAGCUGUCCCAGUUGAAUCAUCAGAGGCAGAAGUGGCGGAAGUAGCCUAAGUUUCAGUCGUUGUUCCAGCAGAUCUUGGAAGUCGCUUAGUGAAGUUCCCCUAUCUUUCCCAAGGCGCUUGACCUCAUAGGAAAAAGAAAGCGUAGUAGCCAGCCGCUCGACCGCUGAAAGCAAAGGAGGAAAAAGGGCGAUUCGAGCCCACGUAGCGGUAAGAACUGAGAAAGUGCUGGUCCGGUUGGAGUUGCUUUUCUUUCUCCUCUUUCUUCAUUCUUUGACUCCUAGUCGACUCUGAUUUUACACGGGGGAGUUACCUGGGAUCUUAGAAAGAGUAUUCUCCCAGAACAGAGCGGAUCGAGAAGGAUGAAUGGGGGACUGUAUUUGUUCAUAGUGUCCGAUUGGUCGACCCGGUGUAGAUGUAGUAGACCUAGUUUCAUAUGCUCUUCCUAUCCCCUCUAUUCGCGUGGGAGGGAAUUUCUCUCAUCACUCUUCCCAUGAGUGACCGAGAUUAGCUUUCUUAGUGAGAAAAGGGGAUUAGAAAGAGAGGUCAGGAGAGAGAAGCGCGGCUCGAGCUAAACGAAAGGCGAGAAAGAAAGCCCAAGAAUAUCCCUGUCUUAUGGCACCGCUACGUGGGGCAAUAUUCUUUGCUUUCCGCAAUAUUCUUUGCGCCGGAGUUAGGAGUAUUAAGACCGCUCCUUUCAGUUCCAUAAUACUUUUCUAGUUAUUUAACAGUGGCUAUUUAACAGCUUUUUUUUCCAUAAUACUUUCUAAGUUCCAUAAUACUUUUUAAGCGGAAUAAGACUCCUUACUAUUUUAGAGUGUCUAGCUGACUUGUUUAUCCAUUAGAAAAGUAGGACUAGAAAUCCAUUAUUUUGAUCAUAUUUCAUAAAUAAGGAAGAAGACUUUACAAUAGAGAAAUUUCAAGCGUCAGACAGGCGGUUAGAACAAUCUAAUCCCCUUCCUUCUUAAUCCGUACUUCAGACUUGACUCUUUAUUACUUUGAAAAUGAUGAAAAAUCAAGGUCAUCUUCAACCUUCUUUUUGAUGCGCCUCAGUCCUAUCCAUUAGAACCUUUGAGUUGGAUGUCUUAGAUUCGGACAGAUUUGAUCUCACUCUGGAUUUCUCUUUCAGACUUUAGAGCGGGCGAACUUCAAUCAGCAUACCUUUUUCUCUGCUAAUUCAAGAAUCUCCGCUAUUUCCUGGUUCAGAGUUCUGCCUUCUCUUCUCUUCCUUAAUCAGGAAAAGCGGGUAUGAAUCAAAUCAAAAAUCAAGUUCACCGGAUUCCGGAAAUUGAAGAUAAGGCUCUAACUUUCUUUGAAUGAAAAAUAGGUGACUCGAUAUACAGCCUUCACUUGGUAAACUCCACUGCUUGGAUCUGCUGCUGAAAGACGGUCAAGCUUCGUCCCAGUCCUUACCCUUCUUUAUAGGAUAGUUAUGAAAUACCGCUACGUGGGGUCGUACGAUACCCUCUCCCGGUAGCUGCUCUUGUGGAGGAUGUUCCCUUGUGCUAUCUGUUCUUGCUCUUGAAGCCCACUCCACGGUAAUAUGCCACCCUGCUUUAAUGAGAGUAGAGGAGCGAAGCCUAGCUCAGCUAGGCUACUUAAUCAAGUAUAAACCUUGAAAGAAUAAUCUAAGCUUAGACCAGAAAGGAGCGAGAAGCCGUCUCCUAGCCUCGGAGUUAGACCUUUCCCUAGUUGACUUGGGUGCGGAUCGAUAGACUUCGACCUACUACACAAGAAAAGCAGCUUUCCCAAUAGCGAGACAAGACAAUCAUAGGCUCUCGCCGAGUCUCAUGACAGAAGAGGAAGAAUUCUAUCUUUCUCUUUCAUAAGUUGAAGUCGUUGACUAAAGCUUAAGGAAAUCGUGAACUCAAUAAUAUCCAAUUCUAUUAGAUUCCCGAGAACUAAGGCAUAUGCAAAGUGGGACUAAUAAAGAAAGGAUGAGAAAUUCAUUCUAUGCUGGUAAUGCCUUAUUUCCUACUAACAAAGGAGAUAUAGAAUCCUCUGUAGCUGUAGCAACGGAUCUUGCUUACUCAGCCAGCCGGUGACGCUUCCUCUGCUCUUCCACUCUAUCUCAACUCGGUCUCUCUUACCCCUAUUUAUUUAUGGAUCUCAUUUAUUAAGCUACGAAGGCCCAAAGAAUAUUGCGACUUUGAACGAGCCUUGCCUUCAACUUUGAAUAUAUUUGAAUAUGAUAUUUCUAUAUUAGGCUAGAAUUUCAUAAGAUAAGAAGAUAUCAGUCGGCCAAUAAGUAGCUUUGGCGGCGAAUAAAAUAAGGAGCUAAGUACUUUCUAAAUCUACUAAAAGAAAAGGAAGAUCAUAUUCUACCGCUUAUAUCUCCGAACUUGGCUCCGCUCCUUCUACGUCCGAGCAAUAUGAUAAAAGGAAGAAAACCUAUGGAAGAAGACUAUAAAGGAGAGGUUGAAGUCAACUUAUCCAGAAAGAAAAGUGAAGGUGCGCUUUUGGAGAUCGGACAACUAACCUAUCCGAAGAGACGGAUGAGGAAGUGAAGCUGAGAGACUGCCCACUACGCGGAUCGGAAGUGAGGCUGCUUUACUCUGAAGUUGAGGUUCAAAGAAUAUUGACGAGACCAGUCCGGAGGACCCAGAUAAGAUAAUAUAAAAGAUUCCACUCUCCCGCUUAAUUUGCAAAGAUGUCCUUAUCAUAUUAUUAAGCUACUGAGGCCCAAUGAAAUAUGCCUUGAAUUCAAGGUAAGCCCACUACACGGGAAGAACUGCGCCAUAAGACAGGUCCGAAGGCUAGGCGCAAAGUUCGGUUAAUUACGGAAAGUCCGGAGGACUACUUCGGUUAAUUACGGAUGGUCCUACUUCGGUUAAUUACGGAUGGUCCUACGGAUAAAUCACCUGGACCUUUCUUUGGCCCUGCGGACUCCGGACCCUGGACCUUUCUUUGGCCCUGCGGACUCCGGACUCCGGACUACGGAUAAAUCACCUGGACCUUUCUUUGGAUAGUCCUACGGAUAAAUCCUGCGGACUGCGGACCCUGGACCUUUCUUUGGCACUGCGGACUGCGGACGUAGGACAGGUGACGGAGGACGGCUCAAAGAAUCCCACGGAGCUGGAUCGAUAUCCCUUAAACUUAAAGAUGGAAGGAAAAGCCGGACGUCAGGCCGGACCGAUUAGUUAGUUAGCUGGAUCGAUAUCCCUUAAAGAUGGAAAAGCCGGACCUCUUAGUUUAGUGAGCCGGACUCACAAGGAAGGGACGAAAGGCAGGCGCAAAGAAUAUUGCGGAGUUGAGGCUCAUAAAAGUACGAAAAACGUAGGUUAAAAGGCAUAAAUCUUCUGUCUAUCCGUCUAGGCGUAAAAAACUCCGCUAUCCGUGUAGGCGUAAACCAAUCAAUCCGUCUAGGCGCUAGGCGUAAGCCACUCCCUUCUUCCUUCCGUCCCGUCUAGGCGUAAACCAAUCCAAUAAUCCGUCUAGGCUAAAGCAAUCCGUCUCCAAUCCGUACCUCAUUAUAGCUAUGACUUUGGGAGGGAGAGCCACCGCUCCGCUACGCUAGGCUGAAAAAGGGAAAAAGAAAGGGCGAAGGCACCGACCGAGCCGGGCCUGGCCAAAUCCGCAACGGCGAAGGCACCGCUCCGCUAGGCUGAAAGCAAGUGCUUUAAGGCUGUCCGCUACGCUUCCGCUCCGGGGGUCAAAGAAUUUGAGAUAAAGAGAGAAAGAGAAACUUAAGGCGCAUAAAGGAUCCAGAUUUCAGACUAUGCUGUGGGCUGGGGAGAGAGCAGCUCUGCGAAGCUGGGCCUUCAGUGUGAUUUUAGGGAGGGGAACCAUACUAGAAAGAGAAUAGAAAAGAAAGGCUGAAUUCAUAUUCGAAAGAGAGCGAGUGAGUGAUGGGCAACCUCAAGUCUAUAUCUUGCUCGUGAGCCGCCAAGUACCAGUCUCGCAAGAGUACUGGCGCAAAAGGAUCGGUCCUUCACUUGCUGAUCGUUCGCGAGUCGAACUCGCUCUCUUGCCACGGCCACGCUUUUCACUCACUCACUCGCUUGAGUCGGACGAAAUCACUCUUUUUCUUUGGAGGUCGUUCUUCACUCUCUUCUUACCCGAGCGCCAAGGUGCAUAUAUUUGAAUAUAGAAAGAAGGGAAGCGUAGCGAUUCGUACUACCGGCUUUCGGUAACCGGCAGGCAGUCGCCGAUAAGGCGCAAGCAAGCGUAGCGAAUCAAAGAGAUAAGCCUCUACCUACCUGCCAGCGCGAUAGGGCGGGCGAAGAAGGGGAUGGAUGUCUGCCAGUAUAAUUGAUGGGUCUUGAAAACCGAAGUCUUGAUAGGAAUACCGGGGGUUCGAAUCCCUCUCCAUCCGCGAAUAAGAUAAGUUCUCUCUUGCCUUAUAUCAGAACGAAUCGGAUCUUGGCUUCCUGUCCCGCUCGUAUCGAAGGUAUUCGCUACUAUAGAUUGAGAUGAAAAAAGCAUUUAGCACUCAAGGAAAGUUGUGAUUACCGUGGUUGAGGCAUUCCGUUAAGGGGGCGUGGGAAGGGAAAAGAUGCCAACCAAUUAAUCCAACACAAGUAGAAAAACCCAAAGCAGGAGCUACCUAUAUUGAUGUCUUCUUAUAGCCUUCGUUCCCCGUUAGCCCUAUGGGAAGAGUCAGCUACCACACCAGGGAACUCUCCCGCUCCGUGGGAACCCCUAGAGAGAUAAAUCCUUUUUCAGGCUUGCUUGUUACGACUGAACUCCAGUGAUAUACUUUUCGCAAUCAAUGGUGAAAGUGAUUCUUCGUCGCUUGCCAACCAGUCUCAACGCCCCUAAAUCUGAAACCUACGGCCUUACUAAGAACCUACUAAACCUCCUACGUUAUAUAUAUAUAUAAGAGACCUACGGCCUUACUAAGAAGGCAAGGUGAAAAGAAGAUUGAAAAGUGAAGGGGAGCGCAAAUCAAUCUACUAAUUAAGCUACUUCGGACCGGUCUUUAUGAUUUACAAGAUGAAGAAAAGAAGAGAAGACAACUCCAAAGGAGCUACGGCAAGGGGCGAAGCCAAGCGACCACCUACAAAUAAUAAGGUGUUGAUGAUUUACAAGAUUACCUAAAAGAAUUCAAGGCACCUAGACGGCAACUGAAUAUUGCAUUGAGCCUCCGUCCGAAGGACUGUCCAUAUAAUAACCGUCCUCCUACGGAAGCCAAGCGACCACCUACAAAUAAUAAGGAAGAAACCUCAAAGCCUUGUGUUAAGCAAAUGAGAGAGAUUCCGUAGGUACAUUCUCACAUUGCGGAAACCCGUCCUCCGGACUCCUUUAUCCACAGAACUGAUUUUGCCCAUAUUAUUUCGAUUAUUUAGACUGAAAAAAGUAGAAAAGUUGCGGCCCUUACUAAACUGGUCUUUUUCUUCCAACUCCCCUACCGCUACGUGGGAAGUCAGAAAGAUCAAGCCGUCAGUUCAAAACCACCCCAACUUAUUCGACGAAAAAACAGAAGAUUUGACUCGUCCGAAGGGUCCGAAGGACUGUCCAUAUAAUAACAUAAUAACCGGGAGCGCAAAUCUCACUCCUACGCCUUCUACGCGGUACGCGGAAUAAGACUCCUUCUACGCCUGCGUAUCACGCCCUACCUACUAAAGAAAGGGAAAGACUCCGCCUUAAGAGAUAGGCUUCUCUUAGGUCUACGUCCUCAAGGCUGGGUGGUCUAUAAGAUAUAAGAUCACUCUCACUCACUUGGGUGAUUCUAUAAGCUAGGACCAUAGACAGUGUUCAGAAAAGCAGCUGUUAAUUGAGCGGGGAGCUGGGACUACGUCUCUUCCGAGUGCCUAACCACCCGGCAGCUAAGCAGUCAAACUAGAAAGUCAACUAAGUGAAAGAAAAUCAAAGGAAGAAUUGAAUUUUGAUGCCUUCGAAAGGUCAGAUCUAGGCCUAGCUGCGCCUCGCCUUUGUUACGUGUCACUAGUGGUUAAGACCUGGUUCUCGCGGAGGGGAAAGAGAUAGUCCUGUAAUGAGGUGAACAAGAAUUGGACGUAGAAAGCUAAUUUCUUUGUCUUUAGGAGGGCCUCACUUCUCUCCAAGAAGAUUCCUCUGAAAAGCGAGCUUAAGUUCCAUAAAUCAGUCCGAAGGACGGGCAUUCCUCAGAUAAGAUUCCUCACUCAAAGCGAACCGGUCCGAAGGUCUUGACAAGAUUACCAUUUGAUUCUUUAGAUAAAGUAUGAAAAAUAGAAGCAUCGUAGAAGGCUCCGUAGGAGAUGUAGUGCCGUAGGUAAGACUACCGGAGGCAAGGUUUUGAUUCUAAUAAGUACUAUUACAAGAAUUAGGAUGCGAAGCCAAGCUACUAAGAAAUGAGGGGAUACUCCUACUACGGGAGCGCACACCGUAGGCAAGGAAUGUCCGUAGGACGGACCAGACGCAUGCGAAGCGCAUUUCAUAAGCCAAGCAAGGUUUUCGGGAGUAGUUGUCUUCUCUUCUCUCUUUUAAUAAGUACUAUUACUACAAGAAUUAGGAUGCGAAGAAGAAGAAAGGAAAGGUGAAGAUGAUUUACAAGAUUAUUCAAAACAAGAGAAGAAGAAGACACUCAUAUUGACUAAUUAAGCUACUUCGGACGGAGCGAAGCGACUCUUAUAUAAGAUUCAGAAGAAAGGAAGAAAGAAACUCCAAAUAAGAAGAACGAAUCUUGCAUUGAGCCUACUAGGCCCUUGUGUUAAGCAAAUGAUAGGGAUAGGGAGAAAAGUCUACCUUUCUCACUGAGCUAUUAAACUCAAAUUCUUUGAGCCUGCUCUUCGCAAAUUCUUUGCUCCUUUGUUGUUUUCUUAUACUACGAUAAUAGUGGUUUUUUGACUGGUCCGGAGUCCGGAAGAUUCUUAUCUGGAGUCCGGAGUCCGCAGUCCGGAGUCCGCAGGGCCAAAGAAAGGUCCAGGGUCCUACGUCCGCAGGAUUCUUAUCCGGAGUCCGGAGGAUUUAUCCGUAGGACCAUCCGUAAUUAACCGAAGUAGUCCGGAGUCCGCAGGAUUCUUAUCCGUAGGACUAUCCAUAUGGAAGUAGGACCAUCCGUAAUUAACCGAAGUAGGACCAUCCGUAAUUAACAGAAGUAGUCCUCCGGACUUUCCGUAAUUAACCGAACUUUGCGCCUCAAGAAAAGAAAAGAAGCUCAUUAACUCGAAUUCAAGAAUCAUUAUGAUGUUCAUUGUACUCCUUCAUUGAUUUCACUCUUUUUGACGGAGGGAAAUGCUAGGUUUUGGGCCUAUAAAGUAGCAAGAAAUCAUGAAAAAUCUGUCAUUUUUAGACAAUUUUCGUUAAAUAGAAAUCUUUGAUUUAGUCCUAUUUAGAAGCAAAAAAGCCGGGAAAUAGCAAUGAAAGAAGAACUCCUAUCCCAGAAAUUCACAUGGAUCAGUUCUAGUUUGAGUUUAUGGUCCGGAUACUGACGGGUCUAUUCUUUAUUUCACUCCAGGUUAUGAAAGAAUAAUUCUUCUUGAAUUCUCGUUAAUGAGCUUCUUUCUUUGCGCCUUUCUUUCUCCUAAUUUGUAAACUCUAUAUAUUCUUGGACCCUUUCUUCUUUUCCGCAAUAUUCUUUCCUCCUCAAAUUCCCUAAUGGAUAGUCCUUCGGACCUGUCUUAUGGGACCGCGUAGUGGGUGAAUUUCUCCUUUCGAAGAAAGGCACACAAAGGCAAUUCCAUACCUCUGCUGAGGAAGAAGAUCGGCGAAGGCAAAGAGCUUUCAGCCUUAAUGAAAGAGAAUCCCUCCCAGUUUCCUAGGUUUCUGCUCGCGGAUAAAGACGAGACCAAAGUCAAUCGGAACCAGCAGCGUAGCUCCCCUCACAAUCUACAGCCGGAGAGGAGGCAGAAAGGGAAAAGUCUCCGGAUCGGAAUAAGAGGCAGGGGUAGAGGAAGCCGUCGGUCGGGGCACAGUUCUUUCUUCGGGUUAGAACUCAAGGGAUGAGGUCCCAGUUUCUUCAGUAGCAGUGUCCGCUCUUUCAUGAGAAAAUGGUAAUUAUGACCUCUCGCGGGCCUCCUACAGAGUCUUCCUUUUGUUUGGGGUUCUAAUUCAAGGAUAAGUUCAUAUGGAUAAAUCAGUCAUCUGGACUCGUCAAAUCAUAUAUUUCAUUUCAAAAGAUAUCUCAAUUUCUUUCUAUCUUCUUUCUUGGGAAUAAGAUAGUGCAAUUUCUAGUUCAUUCAAGGUGCAAAGAAUAUUGCGUCUUUGCGCCUCAUGGAUCACUUUCCGAAAGAGCUAAUUCAAGAGAUCGAGCUUCCACUUCUAAUUCUCAAGAUCUUUCAUUCUGGUUUUCAUUGUCAGUUCAUUCUAUUCUCAGAAUCCGUUCUUCUCACCCAUCAUGUUCUCGGGAUCGGAGCGAAGAAAGCGAGAUAGGUUCUCAGUCCUCCUUUCAUAGUUAGCGAGACGGGUCAAAGCCCUCAAUAAGAAGAAAGGCGGAGGACCCCGUAGUUAAGAGUCCUAAAAGAAAGCUCCAGAUGAGUCUGAAAUCCAUAUGAACCUGAAAGGAUCAAAGAAUUUGAGAAGCGACUUCACAGGUGCGAAGGACUAUCCAUUAGAGAAUUUGACUUUGGAGGAGGAGUGCAAAAAAGAAAGAUUAUACAUUAAGCGUCGGACUUGUUUUUAUCCAUAUUUCGAAGGACUUUAUCAAGCUUAACUUCUUUCUGGGAGUCUUAUUACGAGCUGAACGGUCUCAGAAGAGAAGUUUGAAGCCGUCAAUUUCUGUGAACCCCAAACUCUUCCCUUUCCAACCGCCAUAAGAAUGGGAGCCUCUCCGAUCCUUGCUUAAGAGAAAGAUUUUUCUCUUCAACUCCUAACCUUCUAUUAAUGAAAUAAAGAAGAAGUCGAGCUACCAGCUAUCUUAGAGAAUUCCCUUGCUGGAUAGACUCCUAUUUCAGUGACUCAUGAAAGAGCUGCUUUGCUCCUCUCCGAGUCCUGGGCUGGCUCCAUCUAACCUCUCCAACCGCGUAGUGGGCCCUUAUUCAUUGAUUCUUCCUUUCUUCCUAUUCGAUCCUAAUUCAGUUAGGACUGCUCCUACCCGACUCAAGACUAAACCUACUUAAAGGGCUUAAAGGAAGACCAUAAAGACAUAAGUUUGAGUGGAAUCUUUUCGGAAUUCUUUCAUGAGACAAAAAAAAGCCUCGCCAACUAAAUAUAAAUAGGAGGUUCUAGAAGAUAGGCUUGAAUCUAAAUAGUAGGUUUAGCUAACCUUCCCUUUUAGAGUUAGAGUGACUCAUUCCAGUAAAGCCUGCUGAAUGAGACUCAAAGCCAAUCCCAGGGAAGAGUGAAGCUGAAUAGGGUCGUCCAGGUGCAGGUAGUCCCCAUCUUCACAGACAUGUCUAUUUCACCGAGCCUACAGUGCCCAGAUCCUUACGCCUUUCCUCGGAACUUACCUGACAAGGACCCUACUUUAGGACCGUGUGUAAACUCGUUCAAUCUCUCUCUCAUUCCUCUCUUGGUCUAGCCGAAGCCUUGGGUUUCAUGGGUUCACUGGGCUGAGCAUUGGUAGAAUACGAAGUAUCAUGCUACACUUAAGUCCACCCCAUAUCAGAUCCUUUUUGGGCGCGCUCCUCCAGCCAUUAAUUACAUUUAGAGGCAAAGACGUCCAAUGCGGCCUCACACCCUAAAGGCGAACGUGAUCGAGUUCAGUCACAGCCAGCAAGGCUCCAUAAGACAGGGAUAUUGUAAGGAACAAGGCUCAAGAACGGAUGAAGCAGUAUAGUAUGCUGAUCGCCAUCGCCGAGAAGUGGAAUAUGAAGUUUGGGAAUCGGUCUAUUUGAAACUGCGUCCCUAUCGGAAACGCACAGUUGCGCGACGGCAUAGUGCUAAAUUCUCUCCCAAGUUUUUCGGGCCUUACCAGAUUGUAGAAAGAAUCGGGCAAGUGUCCUACCGCCUUGCUUUGCCCGCUUCCUCAUCCAUCCACCCAGUUUCUCAUCUUUCCCAGCUGAAAGAAGCCCUCAGUAGCACUACAACCCUCACACUUCAGCCACCUAGCCUUCCUUCUUCGUUUGAGUGGGAGGCCUUCAGAUGUGACUGCUUAUCGCUACAACGACCAGACACGGGAAUGGGAACUGAAAAAUCCAGUGGAAGGGCCUGCCAGAGUUUGAAGCCACUUGGGAGAGCUUGGAGUUGAUUAAGGAGCUCUUUCCUUCUUUCUCCCAAGAGGACAAGGAAGCUUUCAUCCCCCGGUCUUAGACCACCUAUUGUCCACACUUAUGUUAGGAGGGGUAGUUUGGGUAAUUUGCCUAACUUCCCGCAUUUUGCUAAUAACGGCUUGCCUAGAUCGAGUAUUUCCCACCCACGUAGUCCGUCGGUCAAACCAUCUCCAAAGUAAUAGAGAGAUUCUUUUGCUUUUUCUGGUAUGUAGCUCCGCGAGCUAGGAGCGCAUCAUCGGGGCAGGGCGAAAACGAAGAUAGGAUCAUCAUCAUGGCCCCUUUCUUCUUUUCUUUGUGUCCGGAAAGAGGUCUCUCUCUUUUUUUUAAGGCUUAUCCGGGCUGCUCUGGGGAAUCCAAUUCCUCUUCUUUUCCUGCUGAUCUCAAUCUUCAAGCUGCUACUUCUUGUUCAGGGUCAUGAGAGAUCGAAUGAGGAUUCCGAUCAAUGAACAAAGAAUGAGAAAUUCCCUCUUAGAUAUUAUGAUAUCUACUCAAAAAGAAGAAAAUAUUCCCCUUCAGAAAAUUGAGAAAUUACAUAUAUUUUGGUUUGGAAGAAGAAGAAAGCCGGAGGCGGAGAAGGCUAGGCUUUCUACUAAGAAUCAAGAAAGCGCAACUUCUAUUUUGAUGCCGUAAAAAAAGUUCAGACGAGACUCAAAUUCUUUGAGCCUUAUCGGACCUCACAAUAUCCCUGUCUUAUGGAACGUUAGGAGCUUUGAAUAUUGCGACAUGAAUACUAUGACUUUGAAGACAAAGAGGGCCAAGAAAUCUAUGAACAAGCUCAAAUUCAGUCAAGAUGGCUUCUUUCUUUAUGUUGGUCGCUUCGCUAUCAGCCGUCAGUCCGACCCGUAUUUUUGGCUGAAAAAGGAGUCAAAUCACCGAAUCAGUCUGUCUCGGGAUUCAUAAGACUUAGUCGGUCGGGCAGUCUCAGCAAGGUAACUUCCAGUAGUAGCCGUGUAAGAGACAGAGUAAGCAGUCUUGAGUAAUCGUAAGAAGUGGACUAAGCUAGAUUGGACGCGCUAUCACUCAGAAUUAGUACGGUCUUGAGAUCGAGGAUGAAGACAGAGAAAGAGUUAGAAACAUCAGUCUCGAUAGGAAAGGUUAGAAUAGGCAGCGCCUACUCACUUCAACAUAGAAUUCCCUUGAUUCGGAAACAAGAAGAAGGAUCCAGUAGCUCUCGCAGCCUCUUUGCUCCGUCGGUCUUAAUACUCCCUUUUUCUUCUUUGAAUGUGAAUGAAUGAAGAUGGUCCUCGGCGCGAAGCGUGAACCUACUCAAAUCAAAGGUAAUAUAAGGAUAGGAGGCAAGGCUAGAAGCGAAGCGCAAUCAAUGAACAAGGUCUUAUUUAUGGGACUCGAGGGCGGGGAAAGGAUCCCAAAAGACCAGUCAAAUCGAGAAUAAAAGGGAUGGGAAUGUGAAUCGUGAAGCGCGUCCUCCCUUUAUACGGAUCUUCUCCUUCGAGAUGGCCCAUCUUCCCUGUCAACUUGCUUGUGACGCAUUCCUUCCUAAAUAAAGAAGGGAGACAGCGGACUUCAACGGAUACUUAUUCCAAGGACCCUAUCCUCUUCUUAUCGGUAGGGAAUUGCUAUACGAUCUCGAAAUAACCUUCUCCUGGGGGCCAUUGAGUCUCUUUAUUAAGCUCCCUUCUUUAUUUAGAGCUAUCCCUUUGAGCCUCCUCAACGUUCUAAUGGAUAGGACUGAGGCGCAUCAAAGGGUUUCAGAUGACCUUGAUUUUCGAUUUUUCACUCCCUUUCUUUCUUCUUCUUGUCUUUAUGAAAGGUCUUAGGAUAGUCGGACUCAUAUAACAAUGGAAGGAAAGAGUUCUGGGAGUCUGAAUGGCCUAAGGCCGAUUUCUCCAUUUAUUUACACGGAAGUAGAUUAUUUUCUCACGACGUCUAGUGUGAAGCAUUGAAUAGACUACUUCCGCUGCCUGCAUUACGGCUGAGAACACCUUUCCUAUCUCUUUCUGCUCUUCUUUUGACCUCGAACUUAGCUUCGAUCUAAGAUGCUGAAGACUUUGUGCUUUUUCUUUAUCUCGCUCCUUUCCCGAUGAUCCGGUGCACCGCACCCUAUUCAAUAUUCUUUGCACCUCCUUCUCAAAUUCUUUGAGCCUGUCCUUCGCGCCUAUUUUUUUCCAUUAAUCAGUUGCACUCCAAUUCCCUAAUGGAUAGUCAUCUGGACCUUUCUUUUUAGUUCUUUGCGCCUGUGAAAAGUCAAGAAAAGAAAAGAAGAAUGAACUCAUUAACGAGAAUGAAAGAAUCAUUAUGAUUUCAUAACUAGAAUGAAAGAAGAAUUAUGAAUCUGCUAGAUUUCAGAGCUAGAUUUCAGAUGAAUCCGCGGAGGGAAAUGCUAGGUUUUGGGCCUAUAAAGUAGCAAGAAAUCAUGAAAAAUCUGUCAAAAUUAGACAAUUAUCGUUAGAUAUAUAUAUGAGAAAAAGUCCUAUUUAGAAGCAAAAAAGCCGGGAAAUAGCAAUGAAAGAAUCAAACUAUGUUCAUUUCUUUUAUAGGCUUGAUUCUAGUUUGAGUUUCUGGUCCGGAUACUGACGGGUCUAUUCUUGAUUUCCCUCCACGAAGGACUAUCCAUAUUAAUCAGCAUAAUCUAUUCUUUGCGCCUUUCUUUGGGGUCUUUGUACUUUGUGCUCGAAAAUCAAGCGGAAAUCUUCUUUUCACCUUUUCCAGCUCUUUGCGCCUUUCUUUUUGGAUUUUAGAUAUUAUGAUCUUCUUAUAUCCUCUUAUGACUUUCAAACCUACUGACUGAACUUUCUCUCAAUAUUCUUUGAACCUUUGCCUUUUUCUUCCGAUAAUAUCAAAUUCCAGGUAUUUUGAGCAAAGAGGAAGGUUUUCAAGUACUAUCAAGAUUCAAGGAGUAUUUGCCAGUCUGGCCUUUUCUUUGGAAUGGAGGAUUACUACUCUAUACUAGAACGGAGGAUCUCUUUUCAUUCUUUCUUCCUAACCAAGGACAGGAAAUGCCAGAGAUCAGAGCCCGGACCACACCAGUACGAAGGAUCCUUAGACACUAAGCGCUUUGAGCGAUGAAUGGGAAUUGGGAUCGGUUUUGAAAUGGGUUUUUUAUGAUAUAUGGAUCCUGGAUUUUCCCAGCGGUUGCUCUCUCCGAUCCAUAGUUGGUUUUCGGAGAUACUCAAGAGGAUAGCAUGGUACCUUCAACCAAACUGCACCCUUGCCUUGGUUGGUCGGAAGCCAGGAAUCCUUCUCGUAGGACUUGACCACUGCCACUGAUAGGUGGCCCCUUCUAGUCUGAUUUUCAGUCUUCCAGUGCCUCUUCGACCGGUCCUUCGCUUCCAGUAUGGUUAACUCCGCACUCGCGACAAAUGUAUUCCUGGUACCCGCAUGUGAAAGGCAAAUGGUCCCACCCAGGUCUGCUUUGUUGCAGGACAGCCAUUAGGUUCGUUCUUAUUCUUCUUGGCCACUGUUCACGUUCACUGACCAUUGAAUGGUGUGGUGGAGUGCAGGUAUCCGCUUUCAAAAGUAUGCAGUGCUCGGUGAUGACGUUCUCAUUGCCGAUGCAAAAGUGGGAUCAGUCUAUAAAUCCGUUCUUCAACGACUUGGGGGCUAGCAAAAUCCCUUAUCUCUCAUAGCGGAUGCAUAGAGUUGAGUUUGCCAAGAAGUUCAUGUUUAAUGGAGUGAGUGAGGAUCUAAGUCCAAUCUCAAUCCCUUGCCUAAUACUAUCACCCGUUCCAAAGCGGUCUUAUGGCCAUUCUCCACAAAUCAAAGGAAAGGAUGACUUUAGUACCCUUUGCCGGAUAGGUGGUCUUGGUUAUCGGGCUCUUGGUCGGAUUGAUUACAAGCGGUCCCUCAGGAGAGGCGACUUGCAAUGUGGUUCCGGACCCUUCUACCCUUCACAAUAUGGUGCCCACGUAGCGGUAGGGGCAGACCUCUCAAUCCAUACCGCGGAGUGGGGUCCUAUCUGAUUCAGUUCCUAUUACAGGAAUUUCAACCGAAGGCUCAAAGCAAAGAAUGUUCGUUUUCCUAAUUCAUAUUUUUCACAACCAGGUCGCAAAGACGGAGCAUAAAAGAGAAGAAGAAGAAGAAUUGCAUUUUUUUUGAUGGUGGUUCAAAUUGCUUCGUUGGUAUUGCUGCAAUGGACCUAUGGGUUUCUAUCGAGGAUCUCCUCGAGGGGGCACCUGUCGUAAUCACUCACUGGAACUGUAACCGAAAAGAUGAAAAGAAUAAAUGGUUUGGUCUCAUGUGGAAGUGCUACGACAUGCUUCAAUCCUUAGGUCUAGAUUCUAGACCGGGGGUCUCUUGCCUCUCUGGGAGGAUCCAAAAUAGGAGGUCUAAUACAUAUUCUCUUUAGCUCACUAUUGGGGUGAUAUAAGAAAAGUGGUGAGGGGGCUUCGGCCUUUAGAAGACCCUGAGAUAUAAGAGAUCACCAGUAAAGACAGAUCCUUAGCAUGCCUGUGUGAUGCCAAACCUAUCUAUCAUAUUCCAGGAUCUUGAUUAUCCUCUUCUGAUUCACAUUCUUUAGAGGAAUGCCUUAUACCCACUUAGUGAAGUAGUAAAUAGCCUCUUCAAUCUCUCUCCUUCUGAAAAAUCUUGCCUCAAGAGUCCACCUUAUAUUAUAAAUGGCCGCGGUUAACUAUGGGAUGCCCUUAAGUGGCUGGGAUCCUUUGAAUGAAUCCAAGUUUUAGCAUAAAAGGUUAAAAGAAAAGACUUAGCUAUGCCUGGCCAAUGGUAGCCAUGCCUUCUGAUCAAGGACCUCAUCUUGACUCCGGACUGCCGAGCUCCAUUUAGAUAGCCGAAGACGAUAUCCACAAAAGAGCAUUUCGAUGCCCGGGGGCAUUGCAUUCUACAGCUAUGAGUGGAUAGUAAUUCGGGCUUAAGAAGGCGAGCUUACGGCCAUGAACGCUAUCUUCCAUGACUGAAUUCUUCUCAAUGAAAUGGAUCAAUGAAAUGGAGGUGGUAUCCAUAUUGUGUAGUCAUCAAAUCCAAGUGGAAAGAAGAGAAAUUUGCUGAUCUGCGAAGAGGAGAGGAUGAGGAGCUUUUUAGCAGUUCAAUCCCAUCCCCUCUUUUGGCUGGUAAUUGACUUUUCUUCCUGGUUCACCAAAUAGAGGUAGAUAAGAAGAAAGCCAAGGCAAUGAGAAUUCUCCAGGCUAAACGACCAGAGGCACCCAGAAGGAAUUCUAUGCUUGGCCAGAUUGAUAAGGAGAUGAAUUGAAAACUGUGCAGGCCGCACCCAACUACCUAGCGUACCGGGACUUCCAUGCUAAGACUAAGAAAAGUACAUGAAAUUCUGCCAUAGAAAAGUUCUGGGCCAGUCAUAAGCCCUUUCUGUGAAAAUGGGAUUCCACCUAGUGUGAGAGUAGGAGAAAGCUUCCAGGCAUCUACAGGGCUUUUCUGCUGGAGUUAGAUUUCAGUAGAUUCUUCAAGGCUUUCUCUUCAAAGUCAGAGCUAUCCCUUAAUGUGGGUAGAAAACUCCUACAAUAUCCCUGUCUUAUGGAGCCUUUCUUUCUCCUACGCGGAAGCGUAGCGUAGCGGAAAGAGCCGUAAACUACUUUAUUUAUCCUUUCUUUCGGAGGAGCGGAAGCGUAGCGUAGCGGUGAAAGCUCAAAUUGCAUUGAGCCUGUUCAAAGUCAAUCAAAGAAAAUCAGUUCAUUAACGAUAAUGAAAGAAGCUCAAAAAGAAUCUGCUAGAUUUCAGAUGAAUCCGCGGAGGGAAAUGCUAGGUUUUGCCCAUAGGGAAGUAGCAAGAAAUCAAGUCAAAUGCCUUCUUUUUCGACAAUUAUCGUUAUUUAAGAAAAGUCGAAAAAGUCCUAUUUAGAAGCAAAAAAGCCGGGAAAUAGCAAUUCAAGAAUCAAGCCUAGGACAGGUAAAAUCAAUGAAGACUUCUAGUUUGAGUUUAUGGUCCGGAGAAAGAGAGGUCUAUUCUUUAUUUCACUCCAGGUUAUUCAAUCAUAAUGAUUCUUUCAUUCGAGUGAAUGAGCUUCUUUUCUUUUCUUGACUUUUCACAGGUCCUCCGGACUAUCCAUAUUAACCCGUCUGUCCUCCGGACCUCCUUCAGCAUAAUCUAUGAAUUUGAGGAGCAUGAAAUCAAUGAACAAGGUGCAAUGAAAUAUGCGUUGAAUAUUGACUCCUAUUAGAAGGACCAAGCUUUUUUUCCUUAUUUAGCUCUCGUUCAAAGAAGAUUUUCCAGAAGGCGCAAAGAAUAUUGCGAUGCCUUUCGGAGCUAAGCUUGGGACCGCUCCGUGGGGACACUUCAAUCCUCACCUCGAGAAAGAGGGCUACGUACGGGGCAGUUCUCCCAGAGGCAGUGCCAGUCUUAGUUCUUCUUCUUUUAGUUCUUCCCGAAGAGAAUGUGAGAUCAUCCGGUCUUGUAGAUGAGGCGGUAGAAUAAGUAGUAGUUGAAACAAGCUUACAUGGUUCAUUCACUCAUUAAGUGAGUUAUUAAUUCACAUUCUCCAAACUCAGUCUUAACCAGUACUAAGUUUCUCGCCAACAGGAAGACGAGACGGACAAGGUGGCUCUUAGUUACGAAGCCAGAUCCAUUGAGGCGGUUUGAUCGAAGAAAGCGCAAGCUUGGACACAUAGUGCAUAGCCUUGAGACGAAUCCGUUUCCGAUGAGUUUACUCGUCUGAGGAAGAACAAAGAAAGCAAAGCAAUUACCUAUGGACCCGGCUAAAGAGGCAGGUUAAUAAGGGUCAAGCUGCUGGACCACUUUCCCCAAGUUGGAAUCUCGGAUUCGUUCGUAAAAGAAAGAGAAAUAAUUGCACAAUAAAGAAAGAAGACAAGACACAUACUGACGAAAGAAGAGAAUGGCGAUCAGAAGAUUUCGAAGUUGCGCUUUCUUGAUUCUUAGUAGGUUUCAAAACAUAAGAGAGAAAGUUGGAUCAAUUCCAUAAAUCAGUCGGGAUUUAAGGGCUUUGGAUUUGAACAAGAAACUACGUCCCCGCUUUAGGAAGGGCCUGCCGCCUUAGCUUCAAGAUCUCAGUUUGCACCAACCAGGAUUUCAGUUCUCACCAGGAGCCGAUUGCUCUUAAGGAGAAAGCGAUGGAAGAAGAUAGUCGUUCUCUCUCCCGCCCACGUAGCGGUUUCGGUUAAGUAAUCUUUUCUAUUGAAAGGCGCAAAGAAUUUGCGAGCGACAGAUGAGGCUGAAUUCAUAUUCGCAGGCUUCGACCAAAGAAAGUAUGGUUGGGGUUCGGAUGAGGAUUUGGGAAGAUUUUCUUCAUUCGGGUUCCCAAAAAUUGCAUAAAUCAGAGUGAAAAACCGAUAUAGAAGGCAAAAGCCUGCAAAACUCUAAGAGGAUAGGGAGGCGCAAAGAAUAUUGCGGAACAACUCGAACUAAAAGAAUCGACAGCUUCAAGAAGAAGAUCGGCUCGUGAAAGAGCUCCUCCUGCCCCUCCCUAUCUUUUAUGGCGGUUCGGCACAUGAAUCUGCCUCUACAACUAUCUUUGUGAUCGGGGAGAACUUCCCCUGUCUUCUCGACCAGUCACUUCGUCUUUUAGUCCUUAAAAAGGGCCUUUCCCUAUGACUGCCGCGAAUGCCUGAUUUACCUCGUUCUUUGAAUGGAAUGGAUGGACGGUUGAAGGAAGACCAUACCUUGGUCAAAUAAGAGUCCUUUCGAGUCACAAACAUCUUAAUUACAAUCCCAGUCAAUUCAGAAAUUCAGCCUUUAGUAGCCGCACAUAAGCAAGAAAUUCAGCAACAAGAACGGAAACACCAUCUGCAAUUCUAAUUCUUUCGUGGGUCACUCCGCACUGAACCAGGUGCCUGUUCAAUAUUCUUUGAACCUUGUUUUUCCUGAAUUUCAAAAGGUCCAGAUGAUCUUUAUCAAGCUUAACUUGGCGGAAUCUCUUCUUUCUACAUAAAUAAUAGAAUGACCUGGACGUGAAAGAAGCUAAUUGAUUAGGGUAGAGUCUCAUCCCCCCAUAAUCAAGUAGCGUCCACUAAAAAGGAGCUCCGCGGGGAUCGUUAGGAGAUACCCGAUCAUGAGAUCUGAGUUGGCCUAAGGCCGAUUGAUCUAUUUUCUAUCCAUCCACUAGGCAAUUCGUUUGUGACAAAGGGAAUCAAUAUGCCUUUAUUUAAUUAACCUCAAAAAUACUGAAGAAGAACCUAAAAAACGGCUAAUAGGGGAAAGCCUAUCCAAAGUCAAAGAAGAGAGGCAUUUCACCUAAUAAAUACUGAAGAAAAGGCUAGAAGCGAAGCGCAUUUAUAUAAGUUCAGACAAGAGGAAGGCUUCGUUGACGACGGAGCGGCACGGAAUAAGACGAUAAAGGAGAAGUGCAAGGGCUCAAAAGUCAGAUAUGGAAUUCUAAGACGGAGGAGGAGGGGGGGCGAAGCGAAGCUAAAGGAGAGGAAGACUCCUUCGGAGCGGCAACUCAUAUUGAAUUGAGCGUCCUACGUAGCUUAAUAUGGGAGCGCAAGUCCUUCGGAGCAGUUUCAUUCUCUCUUUCAUGAGAUCUUGAGUAUUAUCUUAUUUGUUGUUUCGGCAGGGGAAUCAUCAUUCUCACUCCGUUUCCGAAGAGAGUUCAAGACCAGAUUUACCGCUACGUGGGUUGAAUAAGCUAUACCUCUAGGGAAAAGGCCGAAAAUUCGGAAAUAGAAAGGAGCCCCGUUGCUGGCUCAGCAGCAUAACUGAAAUCGUCCGCCAAUCACUCAGAUACAAGAGUUCUUUAGGCUCUCGCCCAGUCUCAUGAAGAAGCUAACCCCCCUAGUAGUGUGAAUAGGCCGAGUAGAAAGAAUGGGAUCUCCACCGUAGGGAGUUUCAGCAGAGUCGGGUAUCAAGAGACCAAAUAGGAAGCGUCUAUCCUCAUCCCUUGUGGAAGAGUUCCGGAGUCAAGUCAAGAGUAGCCGCUAUAAGGGGUUUCUUCAAGUGAACAAGAAAAAGAACUGAUCUCAUUCAUAAACGGGGUUCUUUUACGCUACUUUGAUGUGAACUCCUUGAAUUCUAAGAAAAGACUGGGAAUCAUCAUUCUCACUCAGUCCAGGAACAGGAGUCGACUCUCUUUCCUCACAGUCUAAAUAGGCGAGGUGCCAUAAGACAGGGAUAUUCUUGCCUUCUAAUGGGCAAUAUUCUUUGCGCCUCCUUCGGUUAAUUACGGAUGGUCCUACUUCUGUUAAUUACGGAUGGUCCUACGGAUAAAUCCUCCGGACUACUUCCUUCCAUAUGGAUGGUCCUACGGAUAAAUCACCUGGACCUUUCUUUGGCCCUGCGGACUCCGGACCCUGGACCUUUCUUUGGCCCAUAUGGAUGGUCCUACGGAUAAAUCACCUGGACCUUUCUUUGGCCCUGCGGACUCCGGACUGGUCCGAAGGCUAGGUUCAUACGGAUAGUCCGGAGGACGGUUAGUUGGGCCUUUGUUUUUGGAGUAGAAGGAGAGGCGCUAUUUGAAUGGAGUUAGGGAUCGCAGCUGACUGAGUAAAGGCUUGAAUCAGAAAGCCCACGGAGCGGGCAUCAGAUCGAGGUUAUGCAAGACUCAUUCAUUGAUUGUAUGAGUACUGCUGCGUACAAGACAAGAAUGGGGAUCACCACCUCGUAUAGAUCACUCGUGCUAUACUCGAUCGGUGUGGCGGAAAUCAAGAAAGCACUACGCGGGGGAGGGCGCCCCAUUACGGUGGUCUAGCGGCCGUUAGAUGUCCUUUAUAGCCACCGAAUUGGAUGGAAAAGGAGAUGUGAAGACAGGAAAGAAAGGUCAGCCACCUUUCCGAGCGGUUUCACCCUAGAUUAUUUCACUAUUUCUUAAAGAACAAGUAGUCUCUUUUAUUCAAUGAUUGAACUGGUGGGGAAUCUGUUGCAUAAUAAUCAGCUUAAAUUACUUCGUCCUCAGUGCUUUCGCUUUCUGGUAUUGGUUCAGCCUUUCUUAUGGAGGCAAGUGGGUCUAAGCAAGCCCUCAUAGUAGUCUUGCCUCUUCGCUGCUACAAAGGCUAACUACUGGAAAAUGGACCUCUACCUAUUUAGUCAGAUGCGGGGAUAGCUCAGUGUGGUUUUUUUUCCGUGGGGGGCUCAAUCAAGAUGAAAAGAUUAUUGGGUGGAAUCUCGUUCGCUGCCUCAAAGGGUCGAGCUAACCUCUUCUGACUCUGAACCUAUCGGCUCACCUCCGGGCUAUUCGUCGACUACUACCUUUUUGACAUCUUCUUCGUCGCACAGUAUUUUUCAUACAUUGAAGGAGAAAAUCAAUGCCCUAUUCAAAAGACUAAUGUGAAAGAACCUUGACUUCGCUUCGCCUAUCGGUGAAAUAGAAAUAGGGUUUGCUUGACUAUCGCAACCAGAGAGAGAGAGGCCUAAUGCUCAUCAGGUCUUCAACCUUGACAAGAAAGAGCUUAUAGAUAGGUCUUCAAUAGUCGCGAACAGGAACCUAAUAAGUCCUUGUAUAUAUAGGGUGGGCCUGGGACAUAAUGGAAGUCUAGCGGGUCUUUAGAGGUGAGCCGGUAGGCGAACAAGCAAAGAAGGCGAAGAGGACAAAGGAAAGUAGUUCGUUCCGCUAUACCAAGGGGCUGGCUUUAGACUUGACUUCUCCGCUUGACUCCUAAAGAAAGGGUGCUUUCAGAAGAGAUCCAUAUCUCUAACUCUGAGAAGGGACAGCUAGAAGGUUACAAGGAAAAAGCCUUGCUACGAGCUGGAUGCCUUAGUCAAAACCUUACCUGAAUCUCAAAUUCACGCCAGCUAAAGAUAUUCUUUCUUCCCGCUACGUGGGCUUGCAGUCCUCAGAAAAAUCCAUAUUAGCCUUCUCCAAAGUCAAAUUCUCUAAUGGAUAGUCAUCUGCACCCGCAUCUUUUCUUUGAUUUACUCGGCCCUGGCACUGAAACAAGAGCGGAAGCCAUUUUGAUCUCCCGUGGCAGUAUGAACUGCUGUCCCUUCUCUUCUAUCCGUAGCCCUGAAUCUAAUAUGUGAUAGGUUAUCAAUCAAAGUGAUGUUAACCAUCUUUGUAGCAGCCACCCUGAAGUGAUUAGGGGAGCCACUCAAUAAAACUGCUAGGGAUCUCUUUCCGCUAAAUACUUUUAGACAAGAAGCUAGAAUGGAAAGUCUCAUUCUUGGUUGGAACUCUUAUUCGAUCUAUUGCACUUACAGAGUCCGUUUCGCAGUAUGGGGUUUAUAUACAAGAAAGUAAGUAUGGCAUUUUGACAAGGUUAGAAUAUGCUUUUCCAUCUCACGUAUAGAUCAUAUACUUUUGCUAGGACUUGCUUUGGUCAGAACAGUACUAUCGAGUUGAUCUUAUCAAAUGUUCUCUUUCUUAUUUGAAAUCAAGAAUGUUGACGCUUGUCUUUAAGCAGAAUGAUUUCAUCUAUGAUCUAGAUGGAAAAGGUAUGAAAAAGGAACUUCUAUCUGGAAAUUACCACUUUUCCCCUUAAUACAGACAAUUGUGCGUGCAAACAAGAAAGCCUAGGCUAGAAGCGAAGCAGCGAGCUAGAAGCGAAGCAGCGAGACAAUGAGUCACUUCAAGAGUCAUCCCUCUCUCUCGGAAUGAGUCACUGAACAUAAUAUCUAAAAGAGUUCCAGUGAUCAAUGAACAUCCAUAAAAGAAAUUAGGGAAUGAGUUCUCAUAAGUACUAUUCUCAUCUGAAAUCGGUCCCUAGUUUACUCGGUAUUCAUAUCUUGACCGUAUAGGUGUUCAUAACUAACUCUUUAGGAAAGCGAGA